CAGGAUUUCUGCUGUAGACCGCCUCCUUCUGUGAUGUAUGUAUGAUGGUUUUUUAGGGGUGGUCUUGAGCUACAGGGUGGGCAAUUUCAAGAGCAGGCGGUUGGACUAGGUGGGGUUGGAGUCUAUGACUCCCCCUUGAAGAAAACCCUACUCUAAACACUACCCCUCAUUACCCCUCUGGGAUAGAACAGGAGACUCUUAGGGCCGUGGGUUCGAGACCCAAGUUGGGCAACAGAAAACCAGGAAUCCGGUCUGAAAAUUGUGAUGCUUCCUUUCUGCUCCAGGUAAGUUUUCCGGAGAGGUGGAGGAGGAAAGCGUGCCGAGGAGGGAGGAGGCCACACGACAUCGGGAGAGGAAAGUGGGUGUCGGUGUGCGCAGCUCUGCAUUUUUGGCACUCCACGCCCCCUAUUCGGGAGAGAAAAGGCAGUUCACGCUCCGGCAAACACAACAGAAGAGAGGAUUAAAGAGGUGGGCGGAGAAGGAAAAAGCGAGCCCGGCAGGCAAGGGGAAUGAGUGGAGUGGAAAUGGGGGGGGGGCGGAGGAGGAUGCGAGGCGGUGGGGUGGGCUGGGGUUAGUGAAUGAGGAAUCUAUGGGGUGGGAUUGCGGAGCAGCAAGCGGAGCUCGCAAAGGGGCUGCACCCAUUUUCCGGAGGAAUUAAUCCGGAUUACCUCCUGCGCAACCCCCAUGUUGGCAGGGCUGAAUGCAGAGUAGAAUUGACGGCAGACUGAAACUGAACUGCAAAUAAAUAAUAAUAAUAAUAAAAAAAAAUAAUGUCAUGUCUUUUGACACUGGGCCCGAUUCCCUCUUAGGAUUUGGUUGCUGGACUCGGGUGGCGCUGUGAGUUAAACCAGAGAGCCUAGGGCUUGCCGAUCAGAAGGUCAGCGGUUUGAAUCCCCGCGACGGGGUGAGCUCCCGUUGCUCAGUCCCUGCUCCUGCCAACCUAGCAGUUCGAAAGCACACCAGUGCAUGUAGAUAAAUAGGUACCACUCCGGCGGGAAGGAAAACAGCGUUUCCCUGCUCUGCUCUGGUUCGCCAGAAGCGGCUUAGUCAUGCUGGCCACAUGACCUGGAAGCUGUACGCCGGCUCCCUCAGCCAGUAAAGCGAGAUGAGUGCCGCAACCCCAGAGUCGGUCACGACUGGACCUAACGGUCAGGGGUCCCUUUACUUAUUCCUCUGCAGGGAGGGAGGCAAAUUGGGAAAGCCUUCCCAUUGUCUUUUUGCUUGCAAAUCCUGUCUUAAGGGCGUAUUUGUGGGUGAAAAGGGUGAGCCUGUGACCUGGAUUCAGGAACUGAGUAUUUACCAUCACAAAAGAAUGGCCAGGCUGUCCAGGUAAUGCAACCAGUGACCAUUAUCAGGUAUCCUGGCAAACAGGAUUUCUGCUGUAGACCGCCUCCUUCUGUGAUGUAUGUAUGAUGUUCUUUUAGGGGUGGUCUUGAGCUACAGGGCGGGCAAUUUCAAGAGUCUAUAUAAGGGCUUGCACACCAUUGUUCUGGGUUCCUCCUCCUUUCCUGCGUGUGGGGAGUGAGGACCCUGUUGCAACAAAUCGAUAAAGAUCAGGCUUACGAACUGCUUUGCUUCUCAAUAUUCUCUGGUUGGCCUCUGCUAUAUUCUCCUACUGAUAGGGAACCCACUUAAGGGCUCUAUAUGGGCUCUUGGAUACCCCAUAAGGGAAAAGAAGCAGUUUUCUUAUAACAAAAGUAUUAUUGUUAGUAUAUAAAGCCCUUUACACAUUGUGACCAGUUUACCUGCAAGAUUGCCUUUCCCCUCUUGGCUGCUUCGAUCGACAGAACCACCACUGUUCCACAUUUCCCAGAACUUGAUAUUUUAGCUCAGCAGCAGUUAUACUUUGGAACUCCCUGCCUCUUGAGAUCAAGCAGGCGCCUUCACUGUACUCUUUUCAGAGCCUGCUAAAAACAUUGGCGUUUAGGCAAGCCUAUCCAUUUGCUUAGAAAGUUUGGCGCAAGUUUUAAUCUGCUUUUAAGUUGAUUGUUAAUUUAGCAUUUUGAAAAGUUUUAGAUUAUUGUUGCUAAUUCCCCUUAUGGGUGAUGUGAUGGCUUUAUCUUUUGUAAUCCACUUUGAGGUUUUUAAGCAGUGUACAUUUUAUGAAAUAAAUGAUAAAAUAAUAAAGAUGGCAUUGUUACUAUUACCAUUGAUCUAUUAGGUGCCUUCCAAGCCACCGUCAAGGCGAUUCACACAUAAGAUAACUGAAAAUUCAAAUACGACGAAUACAUUUUAAAGAAGGCUAAAACCCUGACAAGUGGACAGUUGUAGUAGAGACUCAUUUACCCCCCUGGGAAAGCAAAAUGUUUUUUGCUGCUUCCCAGAAUGUGCGGCUUUUAGUCCUCUGUUAGUGAAAAUAACUACAAAAGUGCCUUAUAUUAGGCAAGAUUGCUUGGUAAAAAUGUGCCUUAAGAGGCUAAAUUGCAUUGGAGCGUGUGCAGAUUAGAAGAAAUUCACACUUAAACACUGAUGAAUUUUCAUGAGGAGUUUUUAAAAAUGUAUCACAGCCGUGUCAAAACCCAGAGAACUGAAUUUGGGGCUUAGAGAAAUGGGAAGCAGAGAGAAAUUAGGAAGAAACUUCAGGAUCAGGCCAAAGUGGGUCCAUCAGACCAGAAUCCUGUUCUCACAGUGGACAAAUACCCCUCAGAACCUAGGAAUCAGAUAGAGGUUCCAGAACAUCAGAAGAUGCUGACUGCCGGAUGAGGCCAACAGCCCAUCUAGUCCAAUACAGUGGUGCCCCGCAAGACGAAUGCCUCGCAAGACGGAAAACUCGCUAGACGAAAGGGUUUUCCGUUUUGGAGGUGCCUCGCAAAACGAAUCUGCUAUGGGCUUGCUUUGCAAGACGAAAAUGUCUUGCGAGUUCCUGGGUUUUUUUUUUCCUUUUCCCCCUCUUUUUCUAAGUCGCUAAGCCGCUUAUCUGCUUAUCCGAUAAGCUGAUAAGCUGCUAAAAGCCGCUAAAAGCCGCUAAAAGCCGCUAAAAGCCGCUAAUAGCGCUAAUCCGCUAAUCCCGUCAAUGGGCUUGCUUCGCAAGACGAAAAAACCGCUAGACGAAGAGACUCCCAGAACGGAUUCUUUUCGUCUUGCGAGGCACCACUGUAUCCUUUUUUUUUUUUUUAAAUAUUUUUUAUUAUUAAUUUCAACAUCACAUUUUAUCAAAAAAACCACAUAUCAUCCUUAAAUCCCCCCUAUUUUUUCCUCCCCCCUCCCUACAAACAUGAACCCCCCUCCCCCCACAUACUUCCCUCAGCUCCUCUCUCUGGUUUAUCAACAUACAGUGGUGCCUCGCAAGACGAAAAGAAUCCGUUCUGGGAGUCUCUUCGUCUAGCGGUUUUUUCGUCUUGCGAAGCAAGCCCAUUGACGGGAUUAGCGGAUUAGCGCUAUUAGCGCUAUUAGCGGCUUUUAGCGGCUUUAGCGGCUUUUAGCAGCUUAUCAGCUUAUCGGAUAAGCAGAUAAGCGGCUUAGCAACUUAGAAAAAGAGGGAAAAGGAAAAAAACCCAGGAACUCGCAAGACAUUUUCGUCUUGCAAAGCAAGCCCAUAGCAGAUUCGUUUUGCGAGGCACCUCCAAAACGGAAAACUCUUUCGUCUAGCGAGUUUUCCGUCUUGCGAGGCAUUCGUCUUGCGGGGCACCACUGUAUGUUAUUUUCUGCACGUUACAAAACUGUACAGAUCCUUAAUUUAUCUAUCUGAAUGUUAUCAAUAAAAAGUUUGUGAAUGUUUAUUCAAGGAGUCCAGUUCAUUUUGUUGUUUCUUUGAAAUACUUUGUAAAGGGUUCCCGUUCAUAUUUAAAAUCACAGUUAUCCUUGUCAUGUAGUUUGUCUGUCAAUUUUGCCAGUUCUGCCUAGUCCAUCAAUUUCUCAGCCUCAUGGGCUGUUGUUGUUUAGUCGUUUAGUCGUGUCCGACUCAUCGUGACCCCCUGGACCAGAGCACGCCAGGCCCUCCUGUCUUCCACUGGUCAAACUCAUGUUUGUAGCUUCAAGAACACUGUCCCACCAUCUCGUCCUCUGUCGUCCCCUUCUCCUUGUGCCCUCCAUCUUUCCCAACAUCAGGGUCCUCCAGAAGGUCCGGCUAGGGGCACGGAAGUGGUAAGGACCACGGGAUGGGUUGGCAUUCAUAUCAUAUGCUUACGCAGGAAAGCAAGGUACUUCAGUUUGUUACGGUAGAAGUUGCCAGGUAUGUUGAUCCCUUCACCUCGCACGACUACCACUUUGCGCCCCAGCAAGACUUGCUUAGCCACAAUGGCAGCCAGACGACCCAGCAGGUGGCCACGUCCAUCAAUCACCAAUACCUUUGGCUCCACCAUGGCUGCUCCUCGGUGGCUGAAUGAAAAAGAGGCUCCGCCCAGCUCCCCAUCCAAGUCAUUUAUAAAGAAGUUGGACAACGAUGGGCCCAGGACAGAACCCUAUUCGUCACUUUUCUCCAGGAUGACGAAGAACCAUUAAGGAGUACUCUUUGAGUUCCGACAGUCAACCAGCUACAAAUCCGCCUAACCAUAACCUCAUCCAGUCCACAUUUUACCAGCGUCUCCGCAAUAUCAUGGGGGUCUUAAAAUGUAGAGAAGGGGAGGGAAUGCUGUGGAGCUGGAGGGGUGAUAAGCAAGGCAGGGAAUCUGAAACAACCCAUUAGAUCUUUGGCAGAGGGGGCCACUCAUUAAAAUGCUCCUUUAAGGAGGAGGAAGAAAUAAUAAUCCCGGCUUGGAAGAAUUUAUGCCAGUAUAGUACCUUUCUACUUUUUUGCAUAAUUGGCCCUCAGUUCUCCAAAGUGCAUGUGUUGAGUGCAGGAUUUGUGCAAUUUAUCCACUUCAGUGCGCUUUCAUUACCUAGGCAUUUUUAAUAAAUAAAUGAAAACACCAAAAAAACAACAAUACCAGCGCCCCCCAAAACUCUUUCCUUGCACAUGAGAAAUAUGUGCUUGGACACACACACACACACACGGAAAGCAAAACCAUUUACUUAAUCACAAGCUUGCGAGGCAGAACCUCCCAGAUGUGCCCCAUUAUCUAUGGGGUUAAUUCAUUCCAGUGAACAAGGCCAGGGAGAAGGAGGCGGAGGUUGGUGCCUAUUUAUGCUUACAGGAGUUGAAGGUGCUCAUUAAAUCUAUUUGCACUAUAAAUUGAAAUCCACAGGAGCUCUCCCUGGUCCUGAAACCUUCAAUAAUAAGAGCUCUUUAAUUUGCUGGGGAUUUUUUUUUGGGGGGGGUGAAGAGGAGGGGCGACAGUUUCUUGGCCAGUGCAAAUUUUGGGGAAAAAACAACACCCUGAGGUUUAGCGGGAGAGUUUCUCCCCAAGGCCCUACUUUCAAUGCUGAGGUUUUGUCACGGGUUCAAAAUCCUCCCCUUUCCCCAAGGGUUUUAAAAGAAAUGAUUGUGUUCAUUGCUUUAGCAAAGGUAAAGGUAAAGGGACCCCUGACCGUUAAGUCCAGUCAUGGCCGACUCUGGGGUUGCAGCGCUCAUCUCACUUUAUUGGCCGAAGGAGCCGGCGUACAGCUUCCGGGUCAUGUGGCCAGCAUGACUAAGCCGCUUCUGGCGAACCAGAGCAGCGCACGGAAACGCCGUUUAUCUUCCCACCGGAGUGGUACCUAUUUAUCUACUUGCACUUUGAUGUGCUUUCGAACUGCUAGGUUGGCAGGAGCAGGGACCGAGCAAUGGGAGCUCACCCCGUCGCGGGGAUUCGAACUGCCGACCUUCUGAUCAGCUAGUCCUAGGCUCUGUGGUUUAACCCACAGCGCCACCCGCGUCUUGCUUUAGUAAGAACAUCAAAAAGAGGUUUGCAGGAUCAGGCCAGUGGCCCACAAAACCCAGUAUCCUGUUCUCACAGUGGCCAAACAGAUACUCCAAUGGGAAAUCCAGAUCUAGGUCUUGAGUGGGACAGCAUAUCUCCCCAUCUGCGGGUCCCAACAGCUCACAUUCAGUGGAAUAUAGCUUCUGACAGGGCAGGGAGAACUCUACAGUUUAAGAAGGAUGUUGACAAGCUGGACCGUGUGCAGAGGAGGGCGAACAGGAUGAUGAAGGGUCUGGAAACCAAGCCUGAUGAGGAAUGGUUGAGGGUGUUGAGCUGGGUAAGCUUAGUAAAGAGGAGACCGAGAGGAGAUAUGAUAGCCAUCUUCACAAAUAUCUCAAGGGCUGCCGCAUGGAAGAUGGAGCAAGCUUGUUUUCUCCUGCUAUGAAGGGUAGGACUCGAACCCAUAGCUUCAAGUACAGGAAAGGAGAUUCCGACUCAACAUCAGGAAGAAUUUGCUGACAGGAAGAGCUGUUAGUGGGAUAGGUUUUCUUGGGAGGUGGUGAACUCUUCUUCCUUGGAGGUUUUUAAGCAGAGGUUUGGUACCCAUCUGUCAGGAGUGCACGCAGGAGCCAGGCCCUGGGACCAGUAGGACUUUGCAGGACUGGGGCCUUCCUAAGUUUGUUCUGGAGAGGCAAGGCACGGCCGCACAGGUGAGGCCGCUUGGUAACUCACUGCACCUGGUGGCAAGAGCCGGGAAGGGAUAUAAGGUCAGCAUUUCCCUUCGGCUCUUUGCCACAGCAACACGUUUCCUGCCUUGCUGCGUUUGGCUUCUUGCUUCCUGAUCCUCGGACCCCUGACUUCGUGACUCCUUGCUUCUCGACCCUUGGACCCUCGGCUUCUGGACUCUCAUUCCUGCUCCCAACCCGCCCUCUUGCCCCCGGUCCCGACGUCCUCAGCUGGGACUUCGAUCGCCCGUAGACCGGACUGUGACACCAUCAGUGUUAGAAACUGAGAUAUGAAAGCUAGGAGCUAAAUGGCACCUUAAACCCAGGUUAUGGGUGCAACACCGCAAUAUCUAGGCAGGCUUUUUUAUAAGAAGAAUACAAAGCUGAAAAUGAAGGAACUGCAGCUAAAAUAUUAUGUUCCUUUUUCACUUGGUCUAGUCCUUUCUGUGCCCACCUCCCCGAUAUUCUUAAGAGAGUCUCUUCUCCAGUCUUCAGAGAGUAGCUGGAAGUGGGGAGGCAGGAAAAGCUCCUCCUUUCCUUCCACUCUGCGUUUUUAAUCUGAAAUCUUAGGUUCAGUUCUGCGCCCAUAGUUCAGAAACUGCUCACGGUAAUGAAAUACCCUGUCACAAAAUGUGCCUGGAACAAUGGGAGUUUUGAACACUGUCUGUCGUGGAUGAGAUUCCUGCAUCGCAAGGGGGUUGGACUAGAUGGCCUCUGAGGUCCCUUCCAGCUCAACAAUUCCAUGACUCCAGGAAUGAUUCAGCUCCUCUCUCAGUUCCUCUGCCUCAAGUGACGCAAAAUGACUGCCUGCUUUAUAUUUUUUGAUUCUUGCACGUUGGUGGGACCGCUUGAAGGUGAAAAUGGAAAACGAGUCUCAUGGCAGCUCGGCGUGGCUGGAAGAUUUCGGCACCGUCAGGGGAGGGAAGGCAGAGCUUUUGUUCACAGGUGUUCACUCACAAAUGAGAUCUUGGCUGUGGAUUUUCGCUCGGGCUGAGAAGAUCCAGGCUUUGCAGAAGCAGCCUGGCCAUGGGGAAAUGUGCUUCUGCCACAAGAUGGUCACCAGACACAGUCUCUUUCUCUUUCUCACUUUCUCUCUCCCUCUUUUCCCCUCUGUCAGGUCAGGGGAGGAACUGUGCGCAUGAGAGGGGAGCAUUCCGAAAUUUUCCAAAAGGCUGCGCCGGUUCAGGAGUCAGCAAACUUUUCCAGCAGGGGGCCGGUCCACUGUCCCUCAGACCUUGUGGGGGGCCGGACUAUAUUUUGAAAAAUAAAUACCGUAUUUUUUGCUCUAUAAGACUCACUUUUUCCCUCCUAAAAAGUAAGGGGAAAUGUGUGUGGGUCUUAUGGAGUGAAUGCAGGCCGCGCAGCUAUCCCAGAAGCCAGAACAGCAAGAGGGAUCGCUGCUUUUUUGCUGCGCAGCAAUCCCUCUUGCUGUUCUGGCUUCUGGGAUUCAGAAUAUUUUUGUUGUUGUUUUCCUCCUCCAAAAGCUAGGUGCGUCUUGUGGUCUGGUGCGUCUUAUAGAGCGAAAAAUACGGUAAAUGAAUGAAUUCCUAUGCCCCACAAAUAACCCAGAGAUGCAUUUUAAAUAAAAGCACACAUUCUACUCAUGUAAAAACACCAGGCAGGCCCCAUAAAUAACCCAGAGAUGCACCAACUCUACAGAUUCUGUUAUUCCAUCGGCUUCUGCACAAAUGUAAUUUGUGCCAAAUGUAAUUAUUACUUUGGAGAGCUUUCUGGAUCAUGCCAGUGACCCACCCAGUCCAGCAGUGUUAAAAUGGGGCGCUCCUAUAGGAAGUGUGCAAGCAAUUUCUGAGCGCUAUAGAACACCCCCAAAGGCACUUUCUCGUUUCCCUGAAACCUCUUUGUUUUCCGCGAGUUGUAACUGUGCCACGUCCUCCGUUACUGCUGCAGAAACAUCUCUAUCCACCGGCUAACGAUCCAUGCAAAAUGUCAGCCAGACACAGUCGAUACAAAACCUUCCCCUGUUUAGGAGAGAGAUUUUUUCACUAAGUCUUUUUAUAGGCUGGGACGGCUCAGAGAGCAUCGCCAAAGAUGAAAGGCAAGCUGGGCAGAUUUGCAGUGUUUUUGGUCUAAGGUGUGCCCAAGAGAUCCCCCCACCAGGAAUAUCGCUGGUGUCGUUUCACUUGGGCCGGGAGAGACUGUCUGGAUUCAACGGUGGCAGUGGGGAAAACCCGGUAUUAACACCCAGAGGGGAAUGGACUCAGAACCUGGAAACCCAAUGGUUACAGAGAAGUCAAACGUAUGGCCUCAUUGCUCCACAGCACACCUCCAGACUUAAGGCUGUACUUCUGGACCAUGAGGAGCAAAUGAUGGUUGGUUCUGGGCAGCACAAUUUAAGAUGGAUGUUGAGAAGCUGGAAGGUGUGCAGAGGAGGCCAAACUAGAGGGUCUGGAAACCAAGCCAUAUGAGGAAUGGUUGAGGGAAUUGGGUAUUUGUGAUGGCCUGCGACUCGGGCUCAGAACAAGAGGAGACUCAGUCCACACCAGAUCCUUUGCCUCAUACAACAUACAACUUUCUUAUUCUGAUCCUAGGCCUGUUUGGUACUUUCAAGUGUUUUCUACUUCUCUUAUAUUACAAUAUUUAACUAAAUAAUCUUAAAAUUUCUUCCAGUCUUCUUGGUAUUCCUCUUCUUUCUGAUCGCAGAUUCUUUGUCUGCCAGCUCCAAAAACUCCAACAUCUUCAUCUGCCAUUCUUCUACCGUUGGUAUUUCUUGAGAUUUCCAAUUUUUAGCUAAUAGCAGUCUUGCCACUGUAGUGGCAUACAAAAAUAAUCUAACAUCUUCUUUGGGGCAAUUCCACUCCUAUUAUUCCAAGUAAAAAGGCUUCUGGUUUCUUUACAAAUGUAUUUUUCAACAUUUUUUUUAACUCGUUAUAAAUCAUUUCCCAGAAGCUUGAGUUGGAAUUGUGAUGGCCUGGGACUCAGGCUCGGACUCGGAACCAGAGGAGACUCAGUCUGCACCGGAUCAUUUGCCUCAGGCAUCAUCUGAACCAAGUCUGGGGCCUGAUCCUGAAGAGUCCCAGUCGGCACAGGUUCCCCUGCAACAAACACCAGCUGGGCCGAGUCCGGGGCCUGAGCCUGCCCUGGCUCCAGAUGCGGGGAUUCCCUUGUUGCCUCCAGCUGGGCCAUCACUUACAGCUGCUCCACUACUGGUUGGGUCAGGGGAGACUGAGGCGGCCCCUGGGUCUAGUAACCCACUGACGUCUCCCGAGCUGCAGAGACUGAGGUCUGAGAGAAGGGAGACCUGAGUACUCACAGGAGUGCUCGCCUUCGGGUGAAACAGGGAGGUGAGUCGUCGGGGGAUCAGGACCGGCCGUUACCCCGACAGAGAUAAAUGGCUGUCGGACCCUGCCCCAGGUUGCGGGAGCAACAUUGCUGUUUGCCAGAUCCUGUACCUGUCCUCACCUGGUGUCCUGCCUUGGCUCUGUCGGACUGACUCCUAGCGGAACCUCCAGAUUCUGGAGCGGUCCUGGACUAUGUUUCAAGGGUUACCCCCGGACCCAGCACACAAAUGCCGGUUGGUUCUGGGCACCACAAUUUAAGAAGGGUGUUGAGAAGCUGGAAGGUGUGCAGAGGAGACCAAACAAGAAGAUCGAGGGUCUGGAAACCAAGCCAUAUGAGGAACGGUUGAGGGAACUGGGUAUGUUCAGCUUGGAAAAUAGGAGAUUGAGAGGAGAUAUGCAUAGCAGAUGGCCAUCCAACCUCUGUGUGGGCCUAAAGGGCCUAAACGGCCUCGGCCCAGUAUACCUGAAGGAGCGUCUCCACCCCCAUCGUUCUGUCUGGACGCUGAGGUCCAGCGCCGAGGGCCUUCUGGCAGUUCCCUCAUUGCGAGAAGCAAAACUACAGGGAACCAGGCAGAGGGCCUUCUCGGUAGUGGCACCCGCCGUGUGGAACGCCCUCCCAUCAGAUGUCAAAGCAAUAAACAACUACCUGGCAUUCAGAAGACGUCUUAAGGCAGCCCCGUUCAGGGAAGUUUUUAAUGUGUGAUAUUUUAGUGUAUUUAUGGUUUCUAUGGAAGCUGCCCAGAGUGGCUGGGGAAACCCAGCCAGAUGGGCGGAGUACAAAUAAUAAAUUAUUAUUAUUAUUAUUAUUAUUAUUAUUAUUAUUAUGUGUGGUGGUCCCGUGGGCUAACCGGGAGGCGAGGUCCGAGUCCAGUCCAAGGUCGAAGGUGCAGUAUGGAGGCAGUCCAUAAAAGUUGAAGCUGGGUGCAGGUGAGGUCAGGAGCUCCGGCAGGAUUGCAGGACAGGGUUUAGGCAGGAACUGACAACCAACAAAGUUGCUCCCGCAACCUGGGAAUGGGGCUGACUGGCUUUUAUCUGCCCCGAGGCACAGGGCAGCCCCGGUCCUCAGGUGACUCGCCUCUCCUGGCACUCCUCCUGCGGGAACUUAGUUCCCUCCGUCUCUCUGCCCUGAGCCUCUGCAGCUCAGGAGAGGCUGGAGGGUGACCGGACCCAGAGGCAACCUCACCUUCCCCUGACGGGGCUGAGAGUGGAGCACCUGCAGGCAAUGGGUCCUCCACCACCUCCGGAGCCAGAGCAGACUCAGCUGGUGCCUGCACCUGAGGAUCCAGCACAGGUGAGGACCCUUCAGGCUCAGGCCCCAGCCCCGGCUCAGCUGGUUCUGGAGGCGGGGACUCCUGUGCAGGCUGGGAUCCCUCAGGUUCAGCCUCCGAGUCUGAAUCCCAGGCUGUCACACUCUGUCUAAAAACCUCCAAGGAAGGAGAGUCCGUUCCACCGUCAAACAGUUCUUAUCGCCAGAAAGUUCUUCCUGAUGUUGAGUCGGAAUCUCCUUUCUUGAAGCCGUUGACGCCAUAUGGGACAGCUGCAUAUUCCUGCAUCGCAGGGGGUUGGACUAGAUGACCCUGAGAGGUCCCUUCCAACUCUUGGGUUCUGUGAGGUAGACCUUUGGCUUUCUCCAGCAGGGUUUUCCUUUGAUGUUCCUGCCAGCUUGCUUUCCAACUUUCCUGCUUGCAUCUGCCGCCAGCCAACUGGCUCCCUCCCCGCUGAUCUGCUGCCUCCUCGCCUUGCCUCUUGCUCCCUUUGGAAGAAUCCCUGACCGUCCCAUGACCCAGCCUCUGCCCAGCUGUUUCCUGAUCCGUGCCAAUCCCAGAUCCCACCGGCCCAUCUCGCGCCUGCCUUUGCCUCCGCUGCCGGUGACCCGUCACUGACGGGUGAAGACGGCCUUUCUGCUCUCUCUGCUGUUCAAAGGCUGCACGAUGUCCUCUCCUCACCCAUCCACCUCCUGCUUUUUUUUAAAAA